rnacentral:precursor_RNA from 15 species
UAUGAACUCAUCAUCCAGUGAAUCAAUCUUAAUGAAACUUGGCAUAGAUGCUGCUAAUUGCUGCAGUCAGCAUAUAUGUUGAAGUUGGUUGGAUCGUAUCACUAUAUCAUCAGUUUAAUAAG